UACGUAGGGAGCAAGCGUUGUCCGGAAUCAUUGGGCGUAAAGCGCGCGUAGGUGGCUCUGUAAGUCCGUUGUGAAAGUCAAAGGCUCAACCUUUGAAAGCCGAUGGAUACUGCAGAGCUAGAGUACGGAAGAGGCGAGUGGAAUUCCUGGUGUAGCGGUGGAAUGCGCAGAUAUCAGGAGGAACACCAAUAGCGAAGGCAGCUCGCUGGGACGUUACUGACGCUGAUGCGCGAAAGCCAGGGGAGCGAACGGG
rnacentral:rRNA from 1 species